rnacentral:rRNA from 1 species
CUGCAACUCGCCUACACGAAGUCGGAAUCGCUAGUAAUCGCGGAUCAGCAUGCCGCGGUGAAUACGUUCCCGGGGCCCUGUACACACCGCCCGUCACACCAUGGGAGUUUGUAACGCCCAAAGUCGGUGGCCUAACCUUUAUGGAGGGAGCCGCCUAAGGCGGGGACAGAUNACUGGGGGUGAAGUCGUAACAAGGUAGC